AUUGAACGCUGGCGGCAUGCCUUACACAUGCAAGUCGAACGGUAACGGGCCUUCGGGUGCCGACGAGUGGCGAACGGGUGAGUAAUGCAUCGGAACGUACCUUUCAGUGGGGGAUAACGUAGCGAAAGUUACGCUAAUACCGCAUAUUCUGUGAGCAGGAAAGCAGGGGAUCGCAAGACCUUGUGCUGAUUGAGCGGCCGAUGUCAGAUUGGCUAGUUGGUGAGGUAAAGGCUCACCAAGGCGACGAUCUGUAGCGGGUCUGAGAGGAUGAUCGCCACACUGGAACUGAGACACGGUCCAGACUCCUACGGGAGGCAGCAGUGGGGAAUUUUGGACAAUGGGGGCAACCCUGAUCCAGCCAUGCCGCGUGAGUGAAGAAGGCCUUCGGGUUGUAAAGCUCUUUCGGUCGGGAAGAAAUCGCAUGGGUUAAUACCCUGUGCGGAUGACGGUACCGGCAUAAGAAGCACCGGCUAACUACGUGCCAGCCGCCGCCGUAA
rnacentral:rRNA from 1 species